rnacentral:rRNA from 1 species
UUCGGUGGCCAUAGCGGAGGGGAAACGCCCGGACCCAUUCCGAACCCGGAAGCUAAGCCCUCCAGCCUGCACCCGACAGGGUGUGGGAGAGUAGGACACCGCCGAAC